GAUCGAUGAAAAUAAUUAUCAUACAUGGCAAUUGAUCAAGCAAUCAAGCAUAUACGUCAUAGCGAUAAUUGCAGCACCUUAAUAAAGUCUAGGAAUAAAUGAGAUCUGAGUAGAUAUAGCUGAAGAUGAUACAAUUAAAAACCUUGAAAACCCAGAUGGAAUUAUUACAUCAAUCGAUAAAAACUAUUGAAUUAUCAAUGAAUUACCCAACACUAUUGCUAGAUCAAUAAAUCUAUGAUCCCGAUUAUGAUGUUUGAAAUAGAACAUUUCGAAUCCAACAAUUUAUCUUUGAUAAAAACUUUAUUACGUAUUUGAUAACUCGGUAGGUUCCAUUUAUGUAUGGUUUAUGAAUUGAGAGUAGCUCAACAAGAAUAAUAGGAUUUUUCAGUUUGAUUGAUAAGGUUGAAACAUCUCAAAUUAACCGAGGUAAAAACAUAAGAUUUCAGAAUAGAAAGAAAACUAUUUGAAAAUGUUACAACUGAGAAUCAAUUUAAUUUAUCUCACAGUAUCACUGCUGGCCAUAUUGAUGUAUAUUUCUUCAACGGAAGCUUAUUCUGAAGCUGAGUACAAAGAGAUGUUUGGAAUUAUUGACAUGGACAGUGACGGAUUUAUCACAGAAGAAGAUUUGAUUGAAUUCAUGGCAAGUGACAAGUCCAAAAUCAUUAACACAGACCAUGGUGCUUUCGCAACUAAUUUUUUAAGAGCGAUUAAGGAUUGCCAGGAAAAACCAGAAUGAAUGAUGUAAGGAAAAAAUUUCCAAGAAAACAAAAAGUUUCCAGGGAAGACCUUUGUGAAACUCUGCAACUUGAUGCUAAUCAGUUUCCCAAACAAGAAUACACAAUCCAUGAGAUUGCAAAUAUGUACCUCAUCUGAU
rnacentral:misc_RNA from 1 species